UACAGAGGUCUCAAGCGUUGUUCGGAUUCAUUGGGCGUAAAGGGUGCGUAGGUGGCGCGCUAAGUCGGGUGUGAAAUCCCGGGGCUUAACCUCGGGACUGCAUUCGAUACUGGCGUGCUUGAGGACUGGAGAGGAGACUGGAAUUUACGGUGUAGCAGUGGAAUGCGUAGAGAUCGUAAGGAAGACCAGUGGCGAAGGCGGGUCUCUGGACAGUUCCUGACACUGAGGCACGAAGGCCAGGGGAGCAAACGGG
rnacentral:rRNA from 1 species